rnacentral:snRNA from 1 species
GUGCUCGCUUCGGCAGCCCAUAUACUAAAAUUGGAACGAUACAGAGAUUAGCAUGGCCCCUGCACAAGGAUGACACGCAAAUUCAUGAAGCAUUCCAUAUUUUU